rnacentral:rRNA from 1 species
CAGCCGUAAACAAUGUGCGUUAGGUGUGUCGGUAACCACGCGUUACUGAUGCGCCGAAGAGAAAACGUGAAACGCACCACCUGGAAGUACGGUCGCAAGGCUGAAACUUAAAGGAAUUGGCGGGGGAGCACCACAACAGGUGGAGCCUGCGGUUUAAUUGGAUUCAACGCCGGACAUCUCACCGGAUAAGACAGCUGAAUGAUUGUCAAUCUGAAGGUUUUACAUGACUAGCUGAGAGGUGGUGCAUGGCGUCAGUGACU